UCUCCGUAGGUGAACCUGCGGAGGGAUCAUUACAAGAACGCCCGGGCUUCGGCCUGGUUAUUCAUAACCCUUUGUUGUCCGACUCUGUUGCCUCCGGGGCGACCCUGCCUUCGGGCGGGGGCUCCGGGUGGACACUUCAAACUCUUGCGUAACUUUGCAGUCUGAGUAAACUUAAUUAAUAAAUUAAAACUUUUAACAACGGAUCUCUUGGUUCUG
rnacentral:misc_RNA from 2 species